CCUACGGGAGGCAGCAGUGAGGAAUAUUGGUCAAUGGACGAGAGUCUGAACCAGCCAAGUAGCGUGAAGGAUGACUGCCCUAUGGGUUGUAAACUUCUUUUAUAUGGGAAUAAAACGUUCCACGUGUGGGAUAUUGUAUGUACCAUAUGAAUAAGGAUCGGCUAAUUCCGUGCCAGCAGCCGCGGUAAUACGGAGGAUCCGAGCGUUAUCCGGAUUUAUUGGGUUUAAAGGGAGCGUAGGUGGUAUGUUAAGUCAGUUGUGAAAUGUUGCGGCUCAACCGUAGAAUUGCAGUUGAUACUGGCAGUCUUGAGUACAGUAGAGGUGGGCGGAAUUCGUGGUGUAGCGGUGAAAUGCUUAGAUAUCACGAAGAACUCCGAUUGCGAAGGCAGUUCACUGGACUGCAACUGACACUGAGGCUCGAAAGUGUGGGUAUCAAACAGGAUUAGAUACCCCAGUAGUC
rnacentral:rRNA from 1 species